UUCAUCUUUGAGUGCUAUAGGGGAACGCUAGAAUGGACCACGUUCGAGUGUAACUGAUGAUGAGUUGGGGAAUUGGGAUCACGCGACAGAUGUGGACGAGACUGGAAGACCACCGAGAGGAACAGACACGGGGGUCCACGGAGGCAGAACAGGACGGCAGGAGAAGAGGGUGGUUGAAUUGGAAAAUAACUGCCCCCUUUUCUGUCCUGUGAGAACCUGUCACAGCAGCCACUUGGGAGACAGAAUCUCACCGUGCAUGCUUAGGGCUACAGGGACAGGGCCCAUUCCAGGGCUGCUCUGCCAAAGGAAAACACACCAAGCUCAGCAAAUUCAGCAGCCAUUUUCUGUCCCCUCCUCUGUUCCACCGGACUCAGCCCUCGCAGGACUGAAGGAAGGGAAGGGUAGAAAGCGUCCCAGAGAGAAAUGUUAAAGAGAGACAGUGAAGGAGAAGAAGGUCUCCGCCUCCUUCAUCCCCCCGCUGAAGGUGAGCUGACCCAGGUGAGCUUCUGGAUUAGGAGAUAAUUUAGAGGA
rnacentral:lncRNA from 1 species